rnacentral:rRNA from 1 species
AACGAACGCUGGCGGCGUGGAUAAGACAUGCAAGUCGAACGGGAAAUUUUUGGAGCUUGCUUUGAAGAUUUCUAGUGGCGAACGGGUGAGUAACACGUGAGCAACCUGCCUGAAAGAGGGGGAUAGCCCGGGGAAACUCGGAUUAAUACCGCGUAUGGUCCUGCAGGACAUCCUGGAGAGACUAAAGGUGGCCUUUGUGCUGCCGCUUUCAGAUGGGCUCGCGGCCUAUCAGCUUGUUGGUGAGGUAAAAGCUCACCAAGGCGACGACGGGUACCUGGUCUGAGAGGAUGAUCAGGCACACUGGAACUGAGACACGGUCCAGACACCUACGGGUGGCAGCAGUCGAGAAUCAUUCGCAAUGGGCGAAAGCCUGACGGUGCGACGCCGCGUGGAGGAUGAAGGCCCUCGGGUUGUAAACUCCUGU